CGUUUUAAUCUUUAAACAAUGAAAAAUGACAAUUUAGUCAUCCAACUAUUUGAGAUUAUAUAUUUUGUUCACCCGAUGAAUUAAAUAAUAUGAAUUAAAAUACUACAUAAACUAUUUCAUUUUAUAUUAAUUGUAUAAUAUAAAUUAAAUAUUAUUAUAACUGGUAUAUAUAUCAUCUCUAUUUGCUUUUAAUUCUAAAAUAUUUAACCCUUAACAUUU
rnacentral:lncRNA from 1 species